GACGAACGCUGGCUGCGUGCUUAACACAUGCCAGUCGAACGCUGAAGCCCCAGCUUGCUGGGGUGGAUGAGUGGCGAACGGGUGAGUAACACGUGAGUAACCUGCCCCUGACUUCGGGAUAAGCCCGGGAAACUGGGUCUAAUACCGGAUACGACUAUCGGACGCAUGUCUGGUGGUGGAAAGUUUUUUCGGUUGGGGAUGGGCUCGCGGCCUAUCAGUUUGUUGGUGAGGUAAUGGCUCACCAAGACGACGACGGGUAGCCGGCCUGAGAGGGCGACCGGCCACACUGGGACUGAGACACGGCCCAGACUCCUACGGGAGGCAGCAGUGGGGAAUAUUGCACAAUGGGGGAAACCCUGAUGCAGCGACGCAGCGUGCGGGAUGACGGCCUUCGGGUUGUAAACCGCUUUCAGCAGGGAAGAAGCCUUCGGGUGACGGUACCUGCAGAAGAAGUACCGGCUAACUACGUG
rnacentral:rRNA from 1 species